UGGUACUCAGAAUCUUAAUGGAUGUUCAUAAUAACAAGAAUGAUUUGAAGCGGGUUCCAUUACUCAAUGUUUCUUGAACCUUUACUGUGUCCCAGGCUCUGUUCCAGGCACUGGGGAUGUGGCCAGAAACAAUUUGGACUCCUUGUUCUCAUAGGGUUUAAUCCAGCGGGGAAUAAUUGGAAACGAUGAACCAUGUUGCAGAGGAAAUAACUCAGGAGGAUUUUGCACAGAACAAGUGAGGAAGGCUGCGUGUCAUCACAUUAGGUGAUCAUGGAGGCCCCCCCGAGGAGGUGACGUUUGAGCUGAGACCUGAUGGGAAGGGCGGAGAAACGAAGGAAGGAAGUUCGUGGGUCCAGUCCGGGGCCGCCUUCCCCCCCUGCAGGGCUCUAGGCCGUCCCACCGAAGGGCUCCUGUCUUGCGGACUCUCCUUCGCUCUUAGAAGCUCUUCCCCAGAGUUUGAGUGCCAAAUAUGGCGGCUGCUUCAAGGGUGAGAAUCUCAAGGGCGAGGGAACCAGGCAGAAGCUGCACCCUCUUGAUAGCUCAGCCUUGGAACUCCAGCAUCCAUCCGCCGUGCUCUGUUCAUCGGCUCGUCACAAGCCCCCACCCACCGUCAAGAGAGACGGAAAUGGAGGCCCUUCGGAAUCAAAACCUCUCGCCUUGGGCUGUGCAGCAACAAGUGGCACAGCCAGCACUUAAGUGUAGCUUUGUCUCCUGCGGGGUGGCUGUCGGGAGGAUGAAAAGAGAUCAUGCAUGUGAAGCGCUGGAAACCACGCCUGGCACGUAGUCAGUGCAGUAUAUGUCCUUGUUAUUGCUAACAAUGUUAUUAUUAUUACAUUUGAGCCACCGGACCAAAACCUCUGCCCUAAUACUGAGUGUUAUACUCUUAAUCUCUUAACUGGUUCCAGAACAAGAGAGCCAGGCCAGAGGUCUCCACUCAGGGAACGGACCAGAGCUUCUAUGACGCCGGCUUGAACCCUGGUCCAAGCCCCCGGGAACAGUUCUUCCGGUUUGGGGUGUCCCAUCCUCCCACUCCCAGGCUUCGAAUGUCCAAAGUGCUCCCCACAGGGCCUUCCCCUCCGUCCAGCGUUGUCCGAUGUGAACCGACUAAAACCUUUGAUGAAGCCGGUUAUUGGGCCAGUUCACGGUCAGGCCCCUAGUCUGAAAGGACAUGGGAGAGAGUUUCAUCACAGCCUGCAGGGCCCAUUGGGAAAUAACUUACCCAGGGUUCCGGGAACCAUGGAAACACAGUCCAGCUAGGGAGUGAGCGCCGCAGCCCUGUCUGGGGCUUGCCCUGGCCACCUCUUACUGCCCGAGUUUCAGGUCUCCGCAUCCAGUUUCGGGCAUUUUGCUAUGACAUGCGCUCUGCCUCAUGAGUUACUUGAUAUUCUUGGAGUGGCUUCACAUCAUGAACUUCAGUGGGUUUAAUUUAA